UAUUGAAAUAAUUGAAUUUAAGUUAGAGUGCUAAAAAAGAAUCGAAAACUGUUAUCUUAUCCUGUUAGGAUAAUUCUAUCUCACCUCCUCCCUCAUGAUAACUUUUACACAUUAUGGACAUGAUAAGAUAAGGGUCAGGAUUGCGUUAUACUAUCCUUCUAGCGCAACAAAUGACAUAUUAGAUUAGGAUAUGAUUACACUAUCAUAUCCUGUGUUCUUAUCCCGUGCACCAAACAUGCCUUCAAGAUCUUCUCUGUUCAUCGUUAUUAGAGCACAUAUGAGUCAAAUCUUUUCUUUUAAAUACUGUUGAGAUUCUUUAGUGUCAAAUCUUGUACAUACUUGUAAAAGAGUAAGUUGAUCUUAAUCUUUCUACAUCACUCUUUGCGAAGAGAUCUAAGCAGAAGCAAAAUCGUUUUUUGGAUACCAAGGCCUAGACAUAGCCCAUCGAUUUAAGGUGAACCAGGAUAAAAUUUCUUGUGUAAUCUUUUAUGCUUUAAGUUGUUUAUUGCUAACACUUACUUCUAUCUGCUGCACCUUAUCUCUUGUGUCAGAAGCUUUAAGAACUUAUAUUUUCUUGACAAACUUUAAAAAGAUAGUUUUUACUAGACACAAUUCAAAACCCCAUUUCUUGUGUCAUUUCUGUAUUUAUCAAUGGGUAUCAGAGCUAGUCUCUAGGGUUUCUAACAUCUUAACAUGUGAAAGAGUAAAUAUUAAUGCCGGACAGUGACAACCGCGGGCUACCACAGAUCAAAGUUGCCUUCAAGGUGCAAUACUUUAAUGGAACAAAUUAUCCUUAAUGGAGGAAAUGUAUGAGGCUAUAUAAAGAGCCUGCAAGUUACAAAAUGUUGGACAUUGUGAGUAAUGGAAACUAUGUUCCUAAAGAUGCAAUUUCUCAACAACCUCUUCCCAGAGAUCUAAGGCUUGAUGAGCACAGCUUGCACUAAUAAUACAAUUUAGUGCAAAGUUGUGUCUUAUUAAUGCUUUAAGCCCAACCGAGCACGAUAUAGUAGAUAACUAUGAGACAUAUAAGGAAAUAUGGGAUUCCCUUGCCACAACGCACUGGGGUACGUCAAAAGUAAAGUAGACCAAACUAAAUUUGUUGGUUACACAAUAUGGUUAGCAAAGUGAAGUGUAGUAUCACAAACGAAAAUGGCAAAGUAGUCUUUGAAGCAGACACAAGGGAAUCUAUAUAAGAUAAACUUGAAACCAUGAAGAUCAAAAUGUAACAUAUCAAGUGUCUUUAGGGGAUGAUAAGUGGGUUUGGCACAGGAAGAUAGGGCAUGCCUCCUUAAAGACCAUUACCAUCAUCGCCAAACAUGACCUGGUACGUAGUCUGUCAGAGUUGUCUUUCAAAUCUAAUGACACAUGUUCUGCAUGUCUUCAAGGAAAGGAAUUAUAAAUUUCUUUCAACGUAAAGAACAUUCUAAGUACUUCCAGAAAUUUGAAAAUGCUACAUGUGGAUCUGUUUAGACCUACUAGAAUGGCUAGUCUUUUUGAACAUCGAUAUGCCUUUGUCAUCAUUGAUGAUUACACACGAUUUACUUGGCUCAUGUACCUAAGUCACAAAGACUAUUGCAUUUGAAAUAUCAGAAGUGACAGAGGAGGAGAAUGCUUGAACCAAGAAUUUGAGAGUUCUGUCAGCAAAAUAGGAUCCUCCAUCUAGUGUCAACUCCAAGAACACCUCAACAAAAUGGAGUAGCGUAGAAGAAGAGCAUAUUACUUCAGGAAAUGAAUUUAUAUAAUUAAAUGGUGUGUGGAUCCAUUUUAAAUUACUUUAAAAUUUUAAUAUUAAGUAAAUUUUAAAUAAGAAAGAAAUUAUAGAUUAUUUUAAAGUAUUUAAAUCAAGUAAAAACUUAUUGAAUUUUUAAUAAUUUUUAAAAUAUUUAAGAAAAUAUGGAUCAGUUAGAAUUAUCAUUAUAUAAUGUCAAUAUAUUUUAAUAAUUUUUCAUCAUGUUAGGAAAAUCUUUCUGUGCUCACUUUGUAGCUAUGUGUAAUCGUUACUCAAGUCAUAUCUGUGGAUCCCCCACGAUAUUCACUUUACUCUCUAGAUUUUGGGCCACAAUACAAUGCAUGUUAAGAUUGAUCUUCUGGUUUAGCUGGAAAUAGUUCCUUGAUAACUCCACCAACAGUUUUUUCUCACAAAACCUAUCACAAGUUAUGUGAAAGAAUAUCAGCUUGGUUAUCAUUACCGUUUUCAAAAAUAUGUUUGAGAGUAUCUAAGUCCAACUAAGAAGUUGUUAAUGAUGACAAAAUCUUAACUGGAAGUUGAGUGGACAAUGUGAUGUUGAGUUGUCCUCACUUCAACGGAAAAAAAUCCAAUUUUUUUACAAAAAAACCAAAACCUCAUAUAAAAAGGGUUUGAAUUAAUUUUUUUAAGCAGAACAACACUAUGAGGAAAAAUAAAGUGGUUGAGAUCAGACGAUAGGUACCCGCAACAGUGAGCAGCACUACUGUUCAAUAUUUAGUGUGUCAAAAAAAUCAUGCUAAUGAUCAAGGAGCACCUGUUUUCGAUGGAUGCCAAGAGUUUAUAGCCAGUGCAGAAGAAGGAGUUGCUGCUUUGAUUUGUGGAGCAUGUGGAUGCCACAGAGGAUACCACAAAAAAUAUGUUCACAUCGAAGUAAUUCAAUGUGAUAGUGGUUGUUCUCAUAAACCAUCAACCAGUGGACGUUGAUGACAUGAACAAACAGAUGAAGCCUUACUGUGUAUGGUUUGAUGUUGUUUGCUAAUUGGAUUUUGUACCCUUCUCUACUUUUUUCUUAUGAUUUUAAAUUCUGGUAUAAUCAUAGGCUGUUAUGUAGGACAACCUAUAUGGCAGUUUUAUGUUUGAAAAGGGGAAAAGUACAAAUUUAUGUCAACCUGAAGUUAUAUUUUCUAUCAAAA